GAUGAAGAACGCAGCGAAAUGCGAUACGUAAUGUGAAUUGCAGAAUUCAGUGAAUCAUCGAAUCUUUGAACGCAUAUUGCGCUCUCUGGUAUUCCGGAGAGCAUGCUUGUUUGUGUAUCAGUAAACACCUCAACUUCCAUAUCUUUUUUGAAAUGGGAGUUGGACUUGAGUGAUCCCAACGCUUUUCCUCACCGAAAAGUGGCGGGUUACUUGAAAUGCAGGUGCAGCUGGACUUUUCUCUGAGCUAUAAGCAUAUCUAUUUAGUCUGCCUAAAAACAGAUUAUUACCUUUGCUGCAGCUAACAUAAAGGAGAUUAGUUCUUGUGCUGACUGAUGCAGGAUUCACAAAGACAGGAUUCGGCCGACUUUGUAAACUCGAUCUCAAAUCAAGUAAGACUACCCGCUGAACUUAAGCAUAUCAAUAAGCGGAGGA
rnacentral:misc_RNA from 1 species